AUGAGUAGGGCGGGACACGUGGUAUCCUGUCUGAAUAUGGGGGGACCAUCCUCCAAGGCUAAAUACUCCUGACUGACCGAUAGUGAACCAGUACCGUGAGGGAAAGGCGAAAAGAACCCCGGCGAGGGGAGUGAAAAAGAACCUGAAACCGUGUACGUACAAGCAGUGGGAGCACAGGUUUACCUGUGUGACUGCGUACCUUUUGUAUAAUGGGUCAGCGACUUAUAUUCUGUAGCAAGGUUAACCGUAUAGGGGAGCCGUAGGGAAACCGAGUCUUAACCGGGCGUUAAGUUGCAGGGUAUAGACCCGAAACCCGGUGAUCUAGCCAUGGGCAGGUUGAAGGUUGGGUAACACUAACUGGAGGACCGAACCGACUAAUGUUGAAAAAUUAGCGGAUGACCUGUGGCUGGGGGUGAAAGGCCAAUCAAACCGGGAGAUAGCUGGUUCUCCCCGAAAGCUAUUUAGGUAGCGCCUCGUGAAUUCAUCUCCGGGGGUAGAGCACUGUUUCGGCUAGGGGGCCAUCCCGGCUUACCAACCCGAUGCAAACUGCGAAUACCGGAGAAUGUUAUCACGGGAGACACACGGCGGGUGCUAACGUCCGUCGUGAAGAGGGAAACAACCCAGACCGCCAGCUAAGGUCCCAAAGUCAUGGUUAAGUGGGAAACGAUGUGGGAAGGCCCAGACAGCCAGGAUGUUGGCUUAGAAGCAGCCAUCAUUUAAAGAAAGCGUAAUAGCUCACUGGUCGAGUCGGCCUGCGCGGAAGAUGUAACGGGGCUAAACCAUGCACCGAAGCUGCGGCAGCGACGCUUAUGCGUUGUUGGGUAGGGGAGCGUUCUGUAAGCCUGUGAAGGUGUGUCGUGAGGCAUGCUGGAGGUAUCAGAAGUGCGAAUGCUGACAUAAGUAACGAUAAAGCGGGUGAAAAGCCCGCUCGCCGGAAGACCAAGGGUUCCUGUCCAACGUUAAUCGGGGCAGGGUGAGUCGACCCCUAAGGCGAGGCCGAAAGGCGUAGUCGAUGGGAAACGGGUUAAUAUUCCCGUACUUGGUGUUACUGCGAAGGGGGGACGGAGAAGGCUAUGUUGGCCGGGCGACGGUUGUCCCGGUUUAAGCGUGUAGGUGUGUGUUCCAGGUAAAUCCGGUUCACUUUAACACUGAGGCGUGACGACGAGGCACUACGGUGCUGAAGCAACAAAUGCCCUGCUUCCAGGAAAAGCCUCUAAGCAUCAGGUAACAUCAAAUCGUACCCCAAACCGACACAGGUGGUCAGGUAGAGAAUACCAAGGCGCUUGAGAGAACUCGGGUGAAGGAACUAGGCAAAAUGGUGCCGUAACUUCGGGAGAAGGCACGCUGACACGUAGGUGAAGUGAUUUACUCAUGGAGCUGAAGUCAGUCGAAGAUACCAGCUGGCUGCAACUGUUUAUUAAAAACACAGCACUGUGCAAACACGAAAGUGGACGUAUACGGUGUGACGCCUGCCCGGUGCCGGAAGGUUAAUUGAUGGGGUCAGCGCAAGCGAAGCUCCUGAUCGAAGCCCCGGUAAACGGCGGCCGUAACUAUAACGGUCCUAAGGUAGCGAAAUUCCUUGUCGGGUAAGUUCCGACCUGCACGAAUGGCGUAAUGAUGGCCAGGCUGUCUCCACCCGAGACUCAGUGAAAUUGAACUCGCUGUGAAGAUGCAGUGUACCCGCGGCAAGACGGAAAGACCCCGUGAACCUUUACUAUAGCUUGACACUGAACAUUGAGCCUUGAUGUGUAG
rnacentral:rRNA from 1 species